GACGAACGCUGGCGGCGUGCUUAACACAUGCAAGUCGAACGCUGAAGCUCAGCUUUUGUUGGGUGGAUGAGUGGCGAACGGGUGAGUAACACGUGAGUAACCUGCCCCCUUCUUUGGGAUGACGCCCGGAAACGGGUGCUAAUACUGGAUAUUCACUGGUCUUCGCAUGGGGGUUGGUGGAAAGGGUUUUUCUGGUGGGGGAUGGGCUCGCGGCCUAUCAGCUUGUUGGUGUGGUGAUGGCCUACCAAGGCUUUGACGGGUAGCCGGCCUGAGAGGGUGACCGGUCACAUUGGGACUGAGAUACGGCCCAGACUCCUACGGGAGGCAGCAGUGGGGAAAUAUUGCACAAUGGGCGCAAGCCUGAUGCAGCGACGCCGCGGGAGGGAUGGAGGCCUUCGGGUUGUGAACCUCUUUCGCUCAUGGUCAAGCCGCAACAAUGGUUGUGGUGAGGGUAGUGGGUAAAGAAGCGCCGGCUAACUACGUG
rnacentral:rRNA from 1 species